CUCACGACGCCAUCGCGCGCUGUCGGCCGACUCGGUGCCCGUGAGACGCCUCCACGCCCUGACCGGCGCAAGGGUUCCGUCGGUCUCUUUUUGGCGUUGGCGGUCGCGCGCCUUUUGUGCGCACUGGAGGUAGCCGCGGGCUGCCCUUUCGUUUUUGUCCUUUUGGGCCUUGAUCCUGUCGUCGCACGCCCGCGGCGCCGUCUUGGGGGGCUUGCCGUCUUGGGCGUCGGUGGGCAUCGAGGGAUCGUGAACGUUGCGGUCUUUGGGCGUGGUGGGUUGGUCGUGUUGCGUGGACGCAUCAUGGGCGCGGGCGUCCGCCUCUUGUUCCCUUGUCGGCGGCGAGGUGUCCAUUGUUGCCAGGGUGUCUCCUCGGCGUCUUUUGGGUUUGGUGGCGCAAAUACGCCCU
rnacentral:lncRNA from 1 species